rnacentral:rRNA from 1 species
UACGUAGGGGGCAAGCGUUGUCCGGAUUUAUUGGGCGUAAAGAGCGUGUAGGCGGCCAGGUAGGUCCGUUGUGAAAACUCGAGGCUCAACCUCGAGACGUCGGCGGAAACCCUCUGGCUAGAGUCCGGAAGAGGAGAGUGGAAUUCCUGGUGUAGCGGUGAAAUGCGCAGAUAUCAGGAAGAACACCCGUGGCGAAGGCGGCUCGCUGGGACGGUACUGACGCUGAGGCGCGAAAGCGUGGGGAGCAAACAGG